UGUGACUUAGACUGGAGCCUGCAGCUCCACGGCCGACCCUGCAGAGCAGAUCCCCCAGGUCCCCCUAUUCACGGGUCACCUGUUAUAUGACAGGCUCUGUGUUCGGGAGACACAGAGGGAAGAAAGUCAGAUGGAAAAUUUACAGCUCAGAGAAGCCAGCAUCAAUACACUUACUGAGAAUCUGGCACACAGGAACAUGUGCACAUGUGUCUUGAACAUUGCCGUCCCCAUGGUCCAUGAGCAGAAGCACUGUCCCCGGCCCUUGGUGACAGCUCACCUGCUAUGACUCCCUUUUGCAAGUAUGUCUGCAGGAUUUAUAUCUGGAAUUGGGAGCGGUUGAGUCGUGUGAUAUAUGCAUUUAAAAAUUUGACAGUUAUCACCGAGCAAUGCUCCAAAGAGGCUGUACCCGAUUUACACUACCAUCCGUGGUGUGUGAGGUGUUGCCCUCCCUCCAGGAGGACACCAGUGAGGAGACUGGGCCCUGGGGUUGGGCAGCCUGGAAUGAAUCGUCCUUCUGCCCUCUCAUUGCUGCAGGACCUUGGGAAAGUUGUUUAACCAAGCCCUUCCGGCCUCUGCUCAUUUGAAAACAGGGUUAGAAGUCACACCUCUAUGGGCACUUGA